rnacentral:rRNA from 1 species
AAUAUUGCACAAUGGGCGCAAGCCUGAUGCAGCCAUGCCGCGUGUGUGAAGAAGGCCUUCGGGUUGUAAAGCACUUUCAGUCAGGAGGAAAGGUUAGGAGUUCAUACCUGCUAGCUGUGACUUUACUGACAGAAGAAGCCCCGGCUAACUCCGUGCCAGCAGCCGCGGUAAUACGGAGGGUGCGAGCGUUAAUCGGAAUUACUAGGCGUAAAGGGUACGCAGGCGGUUUGUUAAGCGAGAUGUGAAAGCCCCGGGCUCAACCUGGGAACUGCAUUUCGAACUGGCAAACUAGAGUGUGAUAGAGGGUAGGAGAAUUUCAGGUUUAGCGGUGAAAUGCGUAGAGAUCUGAAGGAAUACCGAUGGCGAAGGCAGCCACCUGGGUCAACACUGACGCUCAUGUACGAAAGCGUGGGGAGCAAACGG